rnacentral:rRNA from 1 species
GUGGAGUGUGAGGAGCUAAUCGCCUUCAUGCCUGUAUAUUCGUGUACUUGGGGUGUACUUAUUCGUGUGGUAAGUUAACAUCAAUUUUGGUCGUCAUAAAAUGACUGGAGGAAUGUAGCUUCGAUCUCGUAUUGAAGUGUUAUAGCCUUUGGUAGAUGUGAUUAUCGGGAUUGAGGAUUGCAACGGAUACCCUUCGGGGCUACUUGUCUGAUCUCUGAUCGUUGCUCUGGUGCCGAAAGCGUGCUUACGGUUAUCAAAGUCGAUGGUUAAUAGGUUAGAACGGGUUAAA